UACGUAGGGUGCGAGCGUUAAUCGGAAUUACUGGGCGUAAAGCGUGCGCAGGCGGUUUUGUAAGACAGGCGUGAAAUCCCCGGGCUCAACCUGGGAAUGGGCGCUUGUGACUGCAAGCUGGAGUGCGGCAGAGGGGGAUGGAAUUCCGCGUGUAGCAGUGAAAUGCGUAGAUAUGCGGAGGAACACCGAUGGCGAAGGCAAUCCCCCUGGGCCUGCACUGACGCUCAUGCACGAAAGCGUGGGGAGCAAACAGG
rnacentral:rRNA from 1 species